UUUCAGUGUGAUUUAUAAGAGAUAAAAUAAAUUAAAUUAAAAAAAAAAAUUUUUAAAUUAUAAAAGUAGAUUAAUAAAUCCUAUUGAAUUAAAUCAACAAGAAAGAUGUCAACAACCAAGUGUCCUAUUGGUCUUUCUGAUCCUUGUGAUUCAUCCAUUAUCAAUGACACAAAGAACCAGCAAUUAUCCACAUCAGAGAGAUUGAAUCAACUUGAGAAAGAGGUUAAUACACUUCGUUCAGAUUUUGACAAAAUGAAAUGGGAACAAGCAGUGGUUGAAACAGUUAUAGGACGAGCUAUAAUCAGAGGAUCUGCUUCGUUGAGUGGAUGUUAUGAACUUUUAUGUCCAAAGACCACAAAUAUUCAAGGCACUAAAAAUCUUAUGUUAGAGGAUGGGCAAAAAGAUCCUUUUUGUAAUUCCAAAUUAAAUUUACUCCAAAAAAAUUUAAGCCCGGAUAAAAAAACACCACCAUCACCAUCACCACCAGGACAAUCUGAGGCUGAGUGAGAAACAUACGUUGAGAAGAAAAUUUAACAGAAUAAAGCUUUGUCUGUACUUCUACAGAUUUAGACAUAAAUUUCAGUAUAAUAAUAGCUUGUUAUCGUUAUUAUAACGAUCUUGGAAUAUGCGUCAAUAAAUAGUUCAACUACGAUAAAUAAAAGUUUCAGAAAAAUCAGUUUCAUGUGGG
rnacentral:misc_RNA from 1 species